GCCUCAAUAUUUAAUUUGAGGUAUUACCUGCUCAAUGCGAAAGUAAAUAGCCGCAGUAUUCUGACUGUGCAAAGGUAGCAUAAUAAAUUGGCCUUUAAUUGAGGUCUUGAAUGAAUGGUUUGACAAGGGUUUAACUGUCUUUAUUUAAUGGAUUUUGAAUUUUAAUUGUGUGUUAAAAUGCGUACAUUUUAGAGAGGGACGAGAAGACCCUAUAGAUCUUUAUAAGUUUUCAAUAGAUUUUUUUUUUGGAAAUUUUUUUAUUUGGGGAAAAUCCAGAAACGUGAAAUUUCGGUUAAAUUUUAAAAUUUGAUAAUUGAUUUUUGAUCCACUGAAUGUGAAAGAAUGAGAAAGUUACCUUAGGGAUAACAGGACAAUGAUUUUUUAGAAGAUCUUAUUCUAAAAGGCGUUUGUUACCUCGAUGUUGAAUUAAGUUGUCUUAUUAAAGAAGAAGUUUUUGGAGUUGGUCUGUUCGACCAUUGAAAAC
rnacentral:rRNA from 1 species